UACGUAGGUGGCAAGCGUUGUCCGGAAUUACUGGGCGUAAAGAGCGCGUAGGCGGGAAUUUAAGUCAGGAGUGAAAACUGCCGGCUCAACCGGUAGCCUGCUCUUGAAACUGGAUUUCUUGAGGGUAUGAGAGGAAAGCGGAAUUCCCAGUGUAGCGGUGAAAUGCGUAGAUAUUGGGAGGAACACCAGUGGCGAAGGCGGCUUUCUGGCAUACAACUGACGCUGAGGCGCGAAAGCGUGGGGAGCAAAC
rnacentral:rRNA from 1 species